CGCUAGAAGCUUAAAUAUUGGACAAAGCAUUGGCCUUUUAAGCCAAAGAUUGGUGAUUCCCGACCACCCCUAGUGA
rnacentral:tRNA from 1 species